AUGGGACUGUACAGAAUCGGAGGGGUCAACUCCAAAGUGCAGAAGCUGAUGACCAUGGUCUUUUCUUCCAAAGCACCUGUGGAUAUGGACCUGGAUCCAGAGACGUGGGACAACAAAACCAUCACCAGUGGCCUAAAGAAUUACCUCAGGUGUCUCUCUGAGCCUCUAAUGACCUUCAAGCUCCACAAAGAUUUUAUCAUGGCUGUCAGUAAGUUCUGGAAAGUCACUACAAUG